rnacentral:rRNA from 1 species
GGAUUAGAUACCCUGGUAGUCCACGCCGUAAACGAUGUCAACUAGCCGUUGGGCUCAUUUAAGGGUUUAGUGGCGCAGCUAACGCGAUAAGUUGACCGCCUGGGGAGUACGGCCGCAAGGCUAAAACUCAAAGGAAUUGACGGGGGCCCGCACAAGCGGUGGAGCAUGUGGUUUAAUUCGAUGCAACGCGAAGAACCUUACCAGCCCUUGACAUCCUGCGAACUCUCUAGAGAUAGAGAGGUGCCUUCGGGAACGCAGUGACAGGUGCUGCAUGGCUGUCGUCAGCUCGUGCUG